rnacentral:rRNA from 1 species
AGAGUUUGAUCAUGGCUCAGAUUGAACGCUGGCGGCAGGCCUAACACAUGCAAGUCGAGCGGUAGCACAGAAGAGCUUGCUCUUUGGGUGACGAGCGGCGGACGGGUGAGUAAUGUCUGGGAAACUGCCUGAUGGAGGGGGAUAACUACUGGAAACGGUAGCUAAUACCGCAUAACCUCGCAAGAGCAAAGAGGGGGACCUUCGGGCCUCUCGCCAUCAGAUGUGCCCAGAUGGGAUUAGCUAGUAGGUGAGGUAAUGGCUCACCUAGGCGACGAUCCCUAGCUGGUCUGAGAGGAUGACCAGCCACACUGGAACUGAGACACGGUCCAGACUCCUACGGGAGGCAGCAGUGGGGAAUAUUGCACAAUGGGCGCAAGCCUGAUGCAGCCAUGCCGCGUGUGUGAAGAAGGCCUUCGGGUUGUAAAGCACUUUCAGCGGGGAGGAAGGCGGUAAGGUUAAUAACAUUAUCGAUUGACGUUACCCGCAGAAGAAGCACCGGCUAACUCCGUGCCAGCAGCCGCGGUAAUACGGAGGGUGCAAGCGUUAAUCGGAAUGACUGGGCGUAAAGCGCACGCAGGCGGUCUGUUAAGUUGGAUGUGAAAUCCCCGGGCUUAACCUGGGAACUGCAUUCAAAACUGACAGGCUAGAGUCUUGUAGAGGGGGGUAGAAUUCCAGGUGUAGCGGUGAAAUGCGUAGAGAUCUGGAGGAAUACCGGUGGCGAAGGCGGCCCCCUGGACAAAGACUGACGCUCAGGUGCGAAAGCGUGGGGAGCAAACAGGAUUAGAUACCCUGGUAGUCCACGCUGUAAACGAUGUCGAUUUGGAGGUUGUGCCCUUGAGGCGUGGCUUCCGGAGCUAACGCGUUAAAUCGACCGCCUGGGGAGUACGGCCGCAAGGUUAAAACUCAAAUGAAUUGACGGGGGCCCGCACAAGCGGUGGAGCAUGUGGUUUAAUUCGAUGCAACGCGAAGAACCUUACCUACUCUUGACAUCCAGAGAACUUAGCAGAGAUGCUUUGGUGCCUUCGGGAACUCUGAGACAGGUGCUGCAUGGCUGUCGUCAGCUCGUGUUGUGAAAUGUUGGGUUAAGUCCCGCAACGAGCGCAACCCUUAUCCUUUGUUGCCAGCGAUUCGGUCGGGAACUCAAAGGAGACUGCCGGUGAUAAACCGGAGGAAGGUGGGGAUGACGUCAAGUCAUCAUGGCCCUUACGAGUAGGGCUACACACGUGCUACAAUGGCGUAUACAAAGAGAAGCGACCUCGCGAGAGCAAGCGGACCUCAUAAAGUACGUCGUAGUCCGGAUUGGAGUCUGCAACUCGACUCCAUGAAGUCGGAAUCGCUAGUAAUCGUAGAUCAGAAUGCUACGGUGAAUACGUUCCCGGGCCUUGUACACACCGCCCGUCACACCAUGGGAGUGGGUUGCAAAAGAAGUAGGUAGCUUAACCUUCGGGAGGGCGCUUACCACUUUGUGAUUCAUGACUGGGGUGAAGUCGUAACAAGGUAACCGUAGGGGAACCUGCGGUUGGAUCACCU